rnacentral:rRNA from 1 species
GAUGAACGCUGGCGGCGUGCCUAAUACAUGCAAGUCGAGCGAACGGACGAGAAGCUUGCGUCUCUGAUGUGAGCGGCGGACGGGUGAGUAACACGUGGAUAACGCACCUAUAAGUCGGGGAUAACUUCGGGAAAGCGGAGAUAACACGGGAUGAUAUUUUGAACCGCAUGGGGGAAAAGUGAAUGACGGUGUUGCGGUCACGUAUAGAUGGAUCCCGGCUGGAUGAGCUAGUUGGGAAGGUAACGGGUUACCAAGGGAACGAUGCAUAGCCGAACUGAGGGGGGGGUCGGCCACCCUAGAACUUGAACACCGACCAUGCGCCUACGGGAGGGCGCAGUCGGGAAUGUUCCGCAAUGGGCGGAAGCCUUACGCAGCAACGGCGCGUGUGUUGUAGAGGUCCUGCGUUCGUAAAACUCUCUUUCUAGGGAAAAACAUCUUUCUAAGUAGCUGUACACAGAUUGACGGUAAUUAAUCAGAAAGCCACGGCUAACUACGUG